GGGCCUAUAGCUCAGUUGGUUAGAGCACCUGACUCAUAAUCAGGUGGUCCCAGGUUCGAGCCCUGGUGGGCCCACAA
rnacentral:tRNA from 1 species